CGCUCCUUUUCCCCCGGGCUCCCCACAGCUGGGCAGUUGCUUCCCCCUUUCUUCCUUAGCUCCUCACAACUCGGCGUCCUUUCCCCCUUCUCCCCGAGUACCCCACAACUCCUCAGCCCUUGCCCCCCUUCUCUCUGGGCUCCCCAGAGCUGGGAGCCACCGUUCCCCCCAGAGCUUCCCACAGCUGGGCAGCCUCUACCUCACACCUAGCAGAGCACCCCACAGCCUCCAGCCUCUGGCACAGCUGGGGGUAGCUUCUGACUCUCCCCCAGCAGGGCAGCUCCCCCAAACAUACACACAGCAGGGCAGCCUCUGCCUUGCUCUCCCCACAUCCCCUGUAGGUCAGCCACACUUGUACAGCUGAGCAGCUGCAGACUCCCCCUGCCACAGCAGCUUUGUCCCUGCUGUAUACAGCUGGGAGCCCCUGGCCCCCUACCUACCACCUAGUCAUUAAUGUGUGUGUGUCUGAGAGCAGGGCUCUGCAGAGUCAGGCAGUAGGUGACUCCAGGUGGCCAGGAUGUGCCGUGUGUAGGGUUGUGGGAUGAUCCCCGACUCUCAUUGUUUUGUCCCUCUGACAAGGAUACUGGGUGCUGAGUUGGGGGCAAUUUGCUGCUGAGUGGCCUACCCCUGCUCCCAUGCAGUCCUGUUCUCCCCCCCCCCCACCUCCUUGUACAGCUGAGCAGCAACACUCCCCCCCCCAUACACCUCUGUACAGCUCUCCUGCACAGACACUGCUCCUUCUGCUCCCUAACAACCCCCUUUUCUCCUCCAGCAAAUUCAUAAUCAGAAUGAUCGGCUGAGAUGACAAGACCUAGCAGUGCUGGCAACAGGCACCCUCUAGAGAGCGCCGAGGGGGCUGCAGCUCCUGCCUCCUGAACAGUCCAGGGACAUUGAUGGCUGUUCCCCGUCCUCAGGCAGCAAGGGGAAUUUCAUUUUUCACUCUGGGAAGCACAGAGGGCAGACGAACUUGAACCUUCCCCAGCUGGUGAACAUCCAGCCGUCCUCUGGCUCUGCCUGCGAGAGUUGCAGUAGCCAUGGACAUAAGAACUGCCAUGCUGAGUCAGUCCAAAAGUUCAUCUAGCCCAGUAUCCGGUUUGCCGACAAUGGCAAUGCCAGAUGCCCAGGAGGAAGUGAACACAAAAGGAGAGUAGUGUUACAUCUCUGAAGAAAUGCUGCAUUGGGGAUGGAAGUUCUUUUGGGAAAAGCUUCUGCGAACAAAUGAGUUUGCUUUCUGCCUAGCGCUAUCUCUAACAAGAGAUUCUUGGGGUACGUUUCUCCAUGGGAAGCAGGUGUUUGUGUCCUGGGCUGAGUUUUCUGAAGAGGGGAUUGCCUGUUUCCUAUUUGUGACUGCUUCUGCUCCAAGACUGCUCAGUUGACUGUAAAUAAUCAAGAUACGUUAGGAAACUACUCAGACUCCACAUCACUGAUUUCUCUACCACCACCAAACUGAUCU